UAGCAUUGGCACAGGAAAUGAAGUCUAGUUGCCAUCUCGUUUUAGAACAAUUCUACAGGAUGGUUUGUUAACAUUGGCUUUACGAGGACAUAAUCCCAGUGGCAUGUUGUUUAAAGUGGUGGCAUCCAUGUUUCAUGAGAAGCUUUCAGAUGGCAAGGCUGAAAGCCAGACCUGGCAAAGUCAAGGCAAAAGUUAAAAGCUCAAAUGGCCGUCUCACAACAGUGAGGCAACUUUGAAGAUAGAAGUCAUAUUAAGGAUGGAGGAACAGAAAGGGAGAAUACACCCAGGUGAUUGAUUAAUGCAGCCCUAGACUGUCAACCAUUGAUCAUAUUUUAUGGGAGAGUGAAAAAAAUCUCCUUUCUUAGAGAUCAUCCUACUAUUUGGACUAAUCUUUCUGGAUUCUAGCGGAGCACAAGAAACAAAAGUAGCCCAUUUAUCUUCAUGUUCUUGCAAGAAUAUGAUUCAAGAAGUUCCUAAAGGACCAAAGGCAACAGCGACAGGCACACUUUCAGCAACAACCACAGCGUGGAGGAUACAUAUUGAAUUCUUACCAGGGAGAAUUCAAACUCCUUUACUUCUACUUAACUCAUUGAAAUCUCAAAACAACCCUAUCAUCACUGAUCUCUCCUACAAAUCAGGAAAUUAACAUGCAGAGAGAUUCUGAAUUAGGUAUUCACAUGAAAGAAUGACUUCAAAAAAUAAUGAUAAAGCAAUAAUUUGAAACCCAUCUAAUGUUUGUAGUCGUGGAAACAGUAGUAUGAGUGUUCUCCUUGAGAGAAAGAGAAGAUACAGGAUCGGAAAUAUGAGUCCCUCUUUAAUAAGGAAUUGACUUUAAUUAAAGGAAGUCAUGAAGUAAAUCUCUAGAAUGUUAAAGCACUUGUUUCUUCUGGUUUUAAAUUCCUUCCCUGUGCAGAUAGAAAAGCCACGGGAUCCAUCAGUUAUAACCUGGCAAACAUAAAGAGUUUUAGUUGGUUGACAAACCAGCUAAGGCAGAAAGCUCAGCAAAAUAUUUAAUCUUCAGUGCUAUUUUUGGCCCUUUAAUCCAAAGAAGUAUGAAAUCACUCUCAAGUAAUUUUACUAUAGUAUUUGUGUAAAUGCAUCUGAAAUAUAAA